AUGCUCCAAAGAAAGAAAGAAACGAGGUCUGGUCGUAUGGAAGGAAGGAAGAGCGGGUCAAAGAGUCAAAGGGUCAAUGCUCACCAUCAGCUUGCAACUUGCAAGCAAGAGGAGAGGAUGAGGACUGAGGAGGAAGAAGAAAGGAAGCAAAGCAGCAGCUGCCGCGACCUCACCCUCUCCUCCCAGUGGGUGAGAGUGACCCAGGCACUGAGCUACCGUGGCCGCGAGCAGGUGCAGGUGCAGGGAAGCAUCACGCACGCCCAAAAUGAGCACCCGCACGCGGUCAAGGAAGCCUCCCCUCGCCCCUCCUUCCCGACGACGACGACAGCCCCACCCGUGUGCGUGUGCGUGUGCCGUCUAUAUAAUCUUCACCCCAUCCAUCCUCAACGGACACCAUCCACUCAUCCAUCAUCCCACCUCUCCUCGCCUUCCUUCCACCACCAAGCAAACCAAAACCAAGGAAGCCAAGCAACCAUGUGCCCGGGCCUCCGCAACGCCAUGGCCACCCACGACCAUCCCCAGCCCUCAUCCUACCUGCUCGACCUGGCCGCCGCCGACGACCUGCCCGCCUUCCGCCGGGCCGUCCAGGACGACAACCUCUCCCUCGUCGCCGCAUCCCCGUGGUACGGCCCUUCGCCCAAGACAGCCAAGACCAGGACCACCCACCAUCUGGCGCUCCACCUCCGCACCCCCGCCAUGGUCGCCGCGCUCUACGGCAGCACCGCCGUCCUCUCCUACGUCCUCUCCAUCGCCCCCUCCGAGGCCGCCCGCGCCUCCGCCUCCGACGGCGCCACCCCGCUCCUCCUCGCCCACGCCGGCCGCGCACCCUCCGCGCCCCACGCCGCCCGCCUCCUCCUCACCGCCGGAGCGUCCGCCGACUCCCUCCUCGCUCUCGACCACCGCCAUCAAACCACCAGACUCCCCGCCAGCCCCACCAAGAAACAACAACAUCCCGAUUCCUCCUCGCCGCCGGAGGCCACCACCAGGAAGACCACCACCAACAAGGACUAUUCGGACUUGGCCCAGACGGAGGACAUCAACGCGGGCGUCUUCGCCACCGACGACUUCCGCAUGUACAGCUUCAAGGUCAACCCGUGCUCCCGCGCCUACACGCACGACUGGACCGAGUGCCCCUUCGCCCACCCGGGCGAGAACGCGCGCCGCCGCGACCCGCGCCGCGUGCCCUACUCCUGCGUCCCCUGCCCGGACUUCCGCCGCGACCCGCAGGCAUGCCGCAAGGGCGACGCCUGCGAGUACGCGCACGGCGUCUUCGAGUCAUGGCUCCACCCGGCGCAGUACCGCACCAGGCUCUGCAAGGACGAGGUCGGAUGCCCCCGCCGCAUCUGCUUCUUCGCGCACGGCGCCCGCCAGCUCCGGGCCGUCAACCCCUCCGCCGCCUCCAUGGCAUCGCCGUCCCCGAGCUCCUCCUCUUCGCCGCCGCCGCGCUCCUUCUCUACAACUACAAGGCCGGCGCUCACGGCGUCGCUCAGCUCGCGGGAGCUCGACUUCGACGCCGACAGCCAGUACGCGCGCAGGAUGAUGAUGGCCAGGGCCAACUCCCCGCCGGACUACUCGCCCGACCUCGUCGCCGCCUACGUCCAGGCGCUCUCCUCCCUGCAGCACCACCAGCUUCAGCAGCAGCAGCAGCAACAACAGAGCAGCGCGCGCGGCAGCACAACCAAGCCGCCCAUGGGAGGAGGGCUGAGCGCCCGCGCCGCGGCCUUCACCAACCGGAGCCAGACCUUCGUGCACCGCUCUCCGGCAUCUCAGGCGCGGUCGUUCGCGUCCCCGGCGGCGGCGUCGUCCAUGCUGGCGGACUGGGGGUCGCCGGACGGGAAGCUGGACUGGGGCGUGCAGGGCGCGGAGCUGCGCAGGUCCACGUCUUUCGGGGUCAGAAGCAGCAACAGCAGCAGGGGGCAGGAGGACAUGUACUCGUCGUGGCUGAACGACGGCGGCAGCGACAUGCUGGCGGCGCGGUGGUCGGACCUGGAGCAGAUGGUCGCCUAG
rnacentral:rRNA from 1 species